rnacentral:rRNA from 1 species
GAUCUGUCUGCUAAUCGAGCGAGACACUGAGACUCUCACUAGUCAGGUGAGAUGUGAUUAGGCACUCAUGCGCCCUGGCUGUGUCUUCUUGCGUGACGGCGUGCGCGCGCAGAUGCAAGUGUGUGCGUGUGUGGGUUGGGGAUCCAGCGGGCAGUUCGCACUCAAAGCAAGUCCGUCGCUCAGUAAGUAAUUUUUGAGGGAUGCAUGGCUAGCAAUCCGUCAGAGAGAGCGAGCACAAACAGGUGAGGGCUGCCGAUGGUUGCUGCGGCCCGCACGCGCCAUACCCGGCGCACCCAGCAGUUGUCUUUCUUUGUGAGGGAGGAGUGGCCAUCCGUAAGCCAGCCAUUCUUGGCGUGCUUGGGCCUGGAGCUUGCAAUUUUUCUCCACAAACGAGGAAUGCCUAGUAGCGGUGGGUCACUGAGCCCACCGUGAUUCAGUCCCUGCCCUUUGUACACACCGCCCGUCGCUACUACCGAUUGGGUGUACCAGUGAGAGCCUUGGACUGGCGGCCGUUGCCCCUCGGGCAAGCGGUUUCGACUGAAAGAGGUCCGAACUGGUGCACUUAGAGGAAGUAAAAGUCGUACA